UAGGGAAUCUUCCACAAUGGACGCAAGUCUGAUGGAGCAACGCCGCGUGAGUGAAGAAGGUUUUCGGAUCGUAAAGCUCUGUUGUUGGUGAAGAAGGAUAGAGGUAGUAACUGGCCUUUAUUCGACGGUAAUCAACCAGAAAGUCACGGCUAACUACGUGCCAGCAGCCGCAGUAAUACGUAGGUGGCAAGCGUUGUCCGGAUUUAUUGGGCGUAAAGCGAGCGCAGGCGGAAGAAUAAGUCUGAUGUGAAAGCCCUCGGCUUAACCGAGGAACUGCAUCGGAAACUGUUUUUCUUGAGUGCAGAAGAGGAGAGUGGAAUUCCAUGUGUAGCGGUGGAAUGCGUAGAUAUAUGGAAGAACACCAGUGGCGAAGGCGACUCUCUGGUCUGCAACUGACGCUGAGGCUCGAAAGCAUGGGUAGCGAACAGG
rnacentral:rRNA from 1 species